AGAUUUGUAAUUUCUCUAGAAUGGAGGUGCUAAUAUUACUUUGCUUCUGUGAGGCAGGAGCAUACAGUGAUCGAGUCAAAGCCUGAUCAUUUUCUAGAUGAUCUCUUGCUAAAUAGCCCAUGGCCUGAGCUGAGAAGCUUUGCAGAAACAAUUGACGUGAAUGUGGCUGAUUCUGUUGUCCAUAAACACACACCAUAUGUUAUCAUUCUUUCGAAAGUGGCAAAUGAGUGGGCCAAAACUCAUGGUGGAAGCCUUUCAUCAACCAGGGAAGAGAAAAAGGAGUUCAAGGAACUGAUAAGAGCCAGGAUGAGAGCAAUGGAUAAAGACAACUACAAAGAAGCGGUUGAGGCGUCAUUUAAAGUAUUUGCUCCUCGGGGUAUUAGUAAGUACAUGAUUUUAAUGCAUGUUACCCUUGUUUAUCUACAUGAGCAUGUAAUCUGCCAAUCAAUGGCUCUCAAUUAGGACUGACCUCAAGCCCAGUGUGGGCCUCUGAUCUGAUCACUGAAUUUGCUAUCGUUAUGAUGGCCCAUGCCAAUGAGGUUCCAAAAAAAAAAAA